rnacentral:rRNA from 1 species
GGAAUAGGAGACGAUGAAGGACGUGACUACCUGCGAUAAGGUUCGGGGAGCUGGAAGUAAGCUUUGAUCCGGACAUGUCCGAAUGGGGAAACCCGGUGAGAUUAAUCUCUCAUCAUCCUAUAAUGAAUAAAUAGUUAUAGUGAAGGUAUACCUAGGGAAUUGAAACAUCUUAGUACCCAGAGGAAAAGAAAGCGAAUGCGAUUCUCUUAGUAGCGGCGAGCGAACGGGGAACAGCCCAAACCAGAUUUAUUUGGGGUUGUAGGACCAUAAUAGUAGAGUUACAAAACUUGUUUAUAGUAGAAAUGGUUGGGAAACCAUGCCGUAGAGGGUGAUAGCCCCGUAUAUGAAAUAGACAAGACUCGAAAUGGAAUCCCGAGUACGGCGAGACACGUGAAAUCUUGUAGGAAUCAACGCGGACCACCGCGUAAGGCUAAAUACUACCUAUUCACCGAUAGUGAACCAGUACCGUGAGGGAAAGGUGAAAAGCACCCCGGGAGGGGAGUGAAAUAGUACCUGAAACCAUAUGCCUACAAGAAGUCGGAGCCCGUUAAUGGGUGACGGCGUGCCUUUUGUAGAAUGAGCCGGCGAGUUAUGAUAGCAUGCAAGGUUAAGUAGAAAAUACGGAGCCGUAGUGAAAGCGAGCCUUAAUAGGGCGUUUAGUAUGUUGUCAUAGACCCGAAACCAGGUGAUCUAGCCAUGAGCAGGUUGAAGUUGAGGUAAAACUUAAUGGAGGACCGAACCGACGUUCGGUGAAUAAGA